CAGUAAGUGGUGUGCAAGAAAGCUUUGUAAGUUAAGUAACUAACCAUAAAUUGCAGUCAUUGAAGAUAAAAAUGCUUACUGUUGCUUUAUUCAAGACAAGCCUAAGAGUAAAAAUUCAAAAGCAACUCUCUAAAGUACAACUAUAAGCCUUCAAGAAAGAGUUGAACAAGCUAUCUUAAGAUUUAGAAGGCAUCUUCCAGUAGUGGGACAC
rnacentral:misc_RNA from 1 species